CUCUACCCCGGGAACGUCGAGACUGGAGCGCCCGAACUGAGCCACCUUCGCGGACCCCGAGAGCGGCGGCGCGACUCACCGCGGAGGCGCCCGGACGCGUCAAGUGCGUACUUUCAACCGUAAAUGGGUGCUGAGCGUUUAGGGGUGCGGGGCAACUCCCUAACUCGUGGGGCCCUGGCCGGCCCUGCCGCGGCGUCCGAGACCUUCUGAUCCCUCGCUGCGCGCGGCGCGGGGUUGGCGACUUGGGCUCAGGGGCGGCGGGGCGGGGAGGUGCCUUGACCUAGGGACCCAGAGGCCGGGAGCAAGUCUCCUUUCGCCUUGGACUGCAGUGUCCCCCAGGGCAAGGCCUGAACCAGGUCGCGAGGGUCUGUCUCCCGUCUGGGGAGCUGAACUGCCCGAGACACUGUCGCAGUCGCGGGGACUUGUCUGGAGCGGCGGGGUCUGAGCCCAAGUCGGAAGCCGCCGCCGCCGCCAGCGUCCCGUGCGCCUGCCGCCCCGGGACCAGCCGCGAAACUUCUUCUCGGGACGGAGACAGCGCUCGCCGCCCGGGCCGAGGUAGGAGCUGGCUGGGCUCGGUAGAGCGCGGGCGAAUCGCUUUCGGCAGCGAAGGAACGUGUCGGGAGAAGCCAACUGCAGGACCAGGGCCCCAGCGGGCGCGCAGAGACGCCUGCCUUGGGCGGAGGUCCCCCCCUCCGGUUUUCGUGGCUCUGGUAGGGCCCUCUGUCCCGUGAGCUCCUCACUGGACCUGAGGCUACAGGCUUCAGCAGGUCAAGCGCCCGAGUGUGCCUGGAGGAUUGGCGGCGGGGUGGCAUGAGAAGGUGGCCCCUCUUCUCCAUCUCCCAGUCAGGCGAUUUCUCUGCUGUCUGGGGCAGGGGCGCACACCCCAGGAACUUACUACGUAGAGGGAAGCCAGCCUGGUCUCUCCCCCUUGCGUCAGUGCUCCUAAGCUGCCCCUCACCACUCUGGGUAGGGGUCUUUCAGGUGGGCUAGGGAAUUCUCCUUGGAAGUCCCCUUGUUUGCUCCCCUCCAUCAGGGCACCUCUGAGUUAGCCAAUCAUCCUCUUUUCUGGCCUCUUUUUUGCGGGGAGGAGAGUAGAGAGAGAAGCCUCCUACUCGGCAGGUCUCUGAGAGGAGGUUUGGGGGGGCUUCUGAGGUUGCUCCUCCUGGGCAGAGUCAAGGGGUGUUGAGGGUUCCAACUUUUACUGGACAAUCUCUCAAGCUCUGAUUCCCUGAUUUCUGGGAGGUGUCAGUGUAGGGCUUGUGUCCUGCCCCACCCACACAGCAUUUGGUGCAGGCACAUGGGAUGGUUCCCCAAGCCCUUUUCCCACAGUUAGUUUCAGAAAAUGCAUAAGCCACCUAAGGCUGGGAGAGCCUUUCUGUGCUGGCUGAGAUCUGGUGGCAUGUGCAUGCAUAUGUGUGCAAGUGUGUGUGUGUGUGUGCAAGUGUGUGUGCGCAUGUGCAUGUGUGUGGAAAGUAUGGUCUGGGUGGCUGUAAGACUGGCCCCUCUUGUCCCCUCUGCAGGCCCAGCCCAAUAGGAAGCACCUGAUCCACACUCUUUCUAGCCCCAGGGAUGCUCAGGAAAGCAGCCUUUCUUUAGGGCUGUCAUCUGUUCUGGGGAUCUGUUGCUGUUUCUUGGGCCCACAGAAUACACUCCACACCUCGGGACUCCAUAAUAUUGGACAAGGCUGGAAGGCCCAUUUGGCUCCUGCAGCCUCUUAUGCAGGAGGACCUCCUGAGGCUUCGGGCAGGAGCUGGUGCACACCUGGAGGAGAGUGCUGGUGAAUGGCAGGUGUGUGCCUCAGUGUCCUUGCUGCCAGGGUGUCAGCCCUGCUUCACCACUGGCCGUUUGUCUCUGUCCCCUCCACUGGCCUCUUGAAGCACAGAGACCCUCCGGGUACUUUCCUUCCUCUGGGCUUCCACUCAUGCUAUUCCCUGCUCCCUUUUUCUACCUGGAGACCCCCAUUCCUCCUCCUCCUCUGCUGCCCUCACCUCCACCUGGGCCCUCCCAGCUCCCGGGAGAUGGCUGAACCCCACUCCCCACCCGCUAGUCAUCCUCUUCAGCGGUCCUCCCAGAGCUGUCCUCAGCAUGGCAGCCUCCACAGCCCCUGGGUGUCACCCCCGGUUUCGUGUCUGCCUCGGACUCCAGACCUGCCCCUCCCAGGCUGGCCCAGAUGGAUCCUCUACAGUGACUAACCCAAACCAGCACCAGGCAGGGACCCAAUAAACCUUUGUGAAUGGA
ensembl:lncRNA DIO3OS DIO3 opposite strand upstream RNA